rnacentral:tRNA from 1 species
UAGCUCAGAUGGUAAAGAACCUGCCUGCAAUGCAGGAGACCUGGGUUCGAUCCCCUG